UUUUUUUUUUUUUUUAAGUUUGACAAGAAAGAUGAUUUGGGUAAUUGUCAAAUUUGAAGCAUAUACUUGUUACUACUACUAUUAUUAUUGUUUUUAAUUGGGAAUGCUUAUUUGGUCAUUUUCUGGGAAGGAUAGCUGAUGAAUUUGAUAGCUUGAACUGAAUAUUACAGUAUUGAGGCAAUCUUUACUUGUCUAUUUUAACCUAGUUGUGGUUGCUAAUGAGAACUAAUUUUUAAUGUUGAUUUUUGUUGUGAUCUGCAUAAAAAGUGGUUUCUUUUUUUGGUAUUCAGUGACUAUUUUACUGUUUUGUUGUUGUGGUUGUUUUUUGGGUGCAAUGUGUAAAACAUGGACUGGGUUUCUGUGCUUUAUGUUAGGAUAAGUAGUAUUCGUGGGAGAUGUGGGAAGUGCCAAAAUUGGUGGAGAUUACACCUAACCAUUGCAAACUCGAAUUAGAAAUCUCAUUUUCGAGCAUAAGAA
rnacentral:misc_RNA from 1 species